UACGUAGGGUGCAAGCGUUAAUCGGAAUUACUGGGCGUAAAGCGUGCGCAGGCGGUUUUGUAAGUCUGACGUGAAAUCCCCGGGCUCAACCUGGGAAUUGCGUUGGAGACUGCAAGGCUGGAGUCUGGCAGAGGGGGGUAGAAUUCCACGUGUAGCAGUGAAAUGCGUAGAGAUGUGGAGGAACACCGAUGGCGAAGGCAGCCCCCUGGGAUGAUACUGACGCUCAUGCACGAAAGCGUGGGGAGCAAACAGG
rnacentral:rRNA from 1 species